AUGAACGCUGGCGGCGUGCUUAACACAUGCAAGUCGAACGGGGGACAAUUUAAAGAAGCUUCGGCAGAUUUAGCUUGUUCCUAGUGGCGGACGGGUGAGUAACGCGUGGGUAACCUGCCUCACACUGGGGGAUAACAGUCAGAAAUGACUGCUAAUACCGCAUAAGCGCACAGAACCGCAUGGUUCAGUGUGAAAAACUCCGGUGGUGUGAGAUGGACCCGCGUUGGAUUAGCCAGUUGGCAGGGUAACGGCCUACCAAAGCGACGAUCCAUAGCCGGCCUGAGAGGGUGGACGGCCACAUUGGGACUGAGACACGGCCCAGACUCCUACGGGAGGCAGCAGUGGGGAAUAUUGCACAAUGGGGGAAACCCUGAUGCAGCGACGCCGCGUGAAGGAAGAAGUAUCUCGGUAUGUAAACUUCUAUCAGCA
rnacentral:rRNA from 1 species